GAUGAACGCUGGCGGCGUGCCUAAUACAUGCCAGUCGAGCGAACAGACGAGGAGCUUGCUCCUCUGACGUUAGCGGCGGACGGGUGAGUAACACAUGGAUAACCUACCUAUAAGACUGGGAUAACUUCGGGAAACCGGAGCUAAUACCGGAUAAUAUAUUGAACCGCAUGGUUCAAUAGUGAAAGACGGUUUUGCUGUCACUUAUAGAUGGAUCCGCGCCGCAUUAGCUAGUUGGUAAGGUAACGGCUUACCAAGGCAACGAUGCGUAGCCGACCUGAGAGGGUGAUCGGCCACACUGGAACUGAGACACGGUCCAGACUCCUACGGGAGGCAGCAGUAGGGAAUCUUCCGCAAUCGGCGAAAGCCUGACGGAGCAACGCCGCGUGAGUGAUGAAGGUCUUCGGGUCGUAAAACUCUGUUAUUAGGGAAGAACAAAUGUGUAAGUAACUAUGCACGUCUUGACGGUACCUAAUCAGAAAGCCACGGCUAACUACGUG
rnacentral:rRNA from 1 species